GACGAACGCUGGCGGCGUGCUUAACACAUGCAAGUCGAACGGAAAGGCCCUGCUUUUGUCGGGUGCUCGAGUGGCGAACGGGUGAGUAACACGUGAGUAACCUGCCCUUGACUUUGGGAUAACUUCAGGAAACUGGGGCUAAUACCGGAUAGGAGCUCCUGCUGCAUGGUGGGGGUUGGAAAGUUUCGGCGGUUGGGGAUGGACUCGCGGCUUAUCAGCUUGUUGGUGGGGUAGUGGCUUACCAAGGCUUUGACGGGUAGCCGGCCUGAGAGGGUGACCGGCCACAUUGGGACUGAUAUACGGCCCAGACUCCUACGGGAGGCAGCAGUGGGGAAUAUUGCACAAUGGGCGGAAGCCUGAUGCAGCAACGCCGCGUGCGGGAUGACGGCCUUCGGGUUGUAAACCGCUUUCGCCUGUGACGAAGCGUGAGUGACGGUAAUGGGUAAAGAAGCACCGGCUAACUACGUG
rnacentral:rRNA from 1 species